CUGACUGACUGACUUGGACUGACGUUAAUCUGACAUUUGGACCAAGACUAACACUCCAAUUGACUUUACUGCACCAGAAAGGUGAACAAAAUUUGUGCUGCAAGACUGGCAAGAUGCCCACCAAUUAGACAACAAGCUAAUUUAAAUUCUUUCAAAGACAGGUAAAAUUUUUAUCUUUUAGGUAAGUAUUAAAGGCCUUUGCCACAUGAUCUUUGUGGGUAAAUCGUGUCCACUCAAUUUAUAAAGUUAAUUUGCAUCUAAACAUUUACAAUGCCUGACACAAUGGCAUUACAAUAAUCUAAUGUUUUUGUUUUGCGUUACUGAGUGCAAAGGCCUUUAUUUACACACUGACGCAUGCCAAGACUGCCGUCAUGGCAUGUGUCACUGUCUCUCUCGCUGUUCUGUCUGUCUCUCUCUCACUGUUCUGUCUCUCUCCCUCUCUCUGGUCUGUCUGUCCUGUGUGUCUUUCUGUCUGUCUGGUCUCAGUCUGUCUUGUGUGUCUGGUAUCCGUCUGUCUGUCCUGUGUGUCGGAUUUAGUCACUUUUUUAGUCUCAACUUAAAUGGAUGAUUUUAAAGUUGAUUAGUCUUGAGGCGUCUGAUUUCUGCAGGAAAUUAGGGUACCUUAUUUUGAAAUGGCUUUAAUUUAAACAUUUAAUUUUGGUCUUGAAUCUCAGUUAUAGUUGCAACUUGGACUGUUGACAAAUGUGGAAGCUGAUGAAUUAUGUAGUAAAUGCAUCAAAGUUUACUGUAGCUUGUCUAAAGUUCUCUCAUAGUGCUGUAAAAAUGUAGUAAUUGAUUAUGAUGAGCUAGACCAGGUCUUCCUUUAUUCUCAACUGGUAAUUGCUUCGAUAAGAUAACUGGUUCCUGAUUUGAUUAUGAAGCUAAACUUUUGAUUUAUAUGCAAGUGUAGUCACAUUAGAUUGUAGGUGUUAUUUAGCCCAUGGAUAAUGAUAUGAUAAACUUUAAAUCUGGCAUUUUUUGGCACUCUUUUGAUAUUCAUUUAAGUCAUAAACUUUACGCACUGCCAUCAGCCUUUGUAGUCGCUAACUGAAAUCAAAUGCAAUAUUAUUGCUGACUUGUCUCACUCUGCCAAGUUUAUUUCCCUCUAAAGGAGUUGAACCUUUUUGUGUUCAUAGUCUUUUUGCGCGUCAUGUUGGGAGGCCUCCCAGCAGGGGAUUUUUAUCUUCCCUUGCAAAACUAUGCGUUACUCGCCUUAGGGAUGCAGGGCUAUCCUGCAUAGUUUCUUUCAAAAAUCAGAUUGUAGGUUGCAGGAUUAGAGCGCGUUUCUUUUCUUUAGGAGGACACAAACCUGGCAGAGAGACAACUCGGAUUAUUUAAGUGAAAGUUGCGCCAAAUGAUCAAACUUUUUAUUUUUUGAUACUUGAAAUAAAACUUUUAUUCUGUGGGCUGAAUUGAGACAAAUCAGACAGCAUUUGGCUUAAUGUUAAAGACUGUUGUUCAAGUACCCUCUUGUAGCAGGAGUGAGCAGCUGCAGCUUUUUGAUUUAUUUUUCGUUAUUUGAUAUGUUUCUUGGAUUGACUUGGUGUCUGGAGCUUUGUGGUUAACAGUGAUCACACAGUGAUAACCGUAAACGUGUAAACACAAGUGGUCUUUUGCCUCUUAUUUGCGAAGCUGUCAGCUGGUUGAAAUGAUAGGACUUUAUGGCUUGCCCAAAGUGGGAUUUUUGAUAGAGCAUAGGGUUAACACCUCACCAUACACUAGCUAUUUCAGCGAACAAGCAUCUGUAGUCUGUUAUUACCCAUGACUUUCUUUCUAAUUUCACAAUUUAGGCAGCUUGUAGAGUCAUUAGGAAGAUGCUUAAUCCCAAUAUCUUGGUUGGUUGCAUGAGAAACUGCUAUCUCUUAGUUGUGUUGGUGAAGUUCCUCCUCUGAUUUUUGUAGACUUGCCCUAAAGUUUCUCUCCGCUUUAACUCUUGUUGAGCUAUGCAUUAAAUGAUUCCUCCAACUUGUCUCCAUAUCAAUUUUUUUCUCCCUGCAGCCUUCCACCACCCACUGCUGCUGUUGCAUCUGCUAAAGGUAGCCGUAUCCUGAUUCACUGCGUCUUCAUGUGUUGGGUAAGAAGUGUCAUUAGACUACUAACAAUGUAAACACCUUUUAAAUGCUUGAUCUAAUUUACCCAAAUGGUUCAUCACUUUAGGACAGAAAAUCAUUGAAGUUGCCAUUCUUGGGGUCAGUAACCUGACCUCUAAAUGUUUGGGAAACCAUGCAAAAGAUCGCAAGCUCUCUGCAUGACCCAACAGCAUCGAUGUUUGAGUUAUUUAAUUGCUCAAUUUUUAAAUCAGUCAAGAUUUUAUGAGCUGGGUCUUCUUCACACAACAGAGAACAAGGUAAAUUGAGUCGACUCGUGGUAAGGCAUUUCGUCUUUCCCCUUCUUCUCUGUGUGUGAGGAAAUCUGGCCACGGAUCCUGACUGAGUGGCAUACCAUGGCUGCGCAGUUCCCAAAAUCAGAUAAGGAUCCAUCUGAUUUUGUGACUCGGCCUGUCAUGAUAUGCAUGUAUCUUCCUCCGAAACAAAGGAUUCGAAUGUGCAGGUUUGUAGUGUAAAUCACAUCACAUCACUUGUAGGUGGUGAAGCAUUUGUUUAAAUUGGGGUCAAGCAUUUUCAGGUGUCUGCUUUGUCAAUACUCUGGUGCCAUGUCUUGCUAAACACACGAGAAGCUCUGAAUUGUGAAACUGCUGCCUCUUGCAGAUGUUACAACAGUAAUGGCUGUUGAAAGGCUGCAGGGAGAGAAAAUGAGAUCUGAGGACAGGAAAGUGGAAUAGAUUUCAUGCUUAGCAAAAUGAGGGUUUCAGCAGAGGACCUUUUUGUGGCGAGGCUACAGAAUCAGAAGGAACGUUUGUCUGGGCAACUGGGAGAUUUACAGUUUUUCAUGUGGCCAACCAAGACAUUGGGGCUAGCAUCCCAAAUGGCUGGCAAAGACUGCUUGUAACUGUCAGUGUAGGACAGGAAAGGCAGGUAUAGGUUAGGGUUGGCAUCCAUCGGUGAGCUCUGACUGGAUGUGAGGACCUGUCACACUUGACCAGAGAUGAAGGCUGCAGCACAUUCCUGGAUCAGAGGACUCCAUGUUGGACACCAUGACCUAGAGAAGUCCCGUCCUGGAUGGCUGCGGUGAUGACCUAGCCCAAGAUGAACUGACCCUUCUACGACGAGGAAUUCGCCCAAGAUGAACCGACCCUUCUGCGACGAGGAAUUCGCCCAAGAUGAACCAACCUUUUCCACCUUUUUUCCACGGGAUGUCUUCAGAUGCUGGACCUUGCCAAGCUGUACACAUGCCUCAAUGGCUGCUACGUCACUCUGCCCAACAGGACAUGGUUGAGAUUUUUUUUAAAUGGACUUUAACCCCCCCUGUCCCCACUGAUCCACCACCACACAUGACAAAACACUGUACAUGUGAUGCAUCACAACACUAAAAUACAGACAUUGCUACUUUCAGCCUUUUUUUAUUCUGUAAAAGAUCGCAAGCCCUCUGCAUGACCCAACAGCAUCGAUGUUUGAGUUAUUUAAUUGCUCAAUUUUUAAAUCAGUCAAGAUUUUAUGAGCUGGGUCUUCUUCACACAACAGAGAACAAGGUAAAUUGAGUCGACUCGUAACAUAGUAAGGCAUUUUGUCCUUCCCCUUCUUCUCUGUGUGUGAGGAAAUCUGGCCAUGGAUCCUGACUGGGUGGCAUACCAUGGCUGUGCAGUUUCCAAAAUCAGAUAAGGAUCCAUCUGAUUUUGUGACUCGGCCUGUCAUGAUAUGCAUGUAUCUUCCUCGGAAACAAAGUAUUGGAAUGGACAGGUUUGUAGUGUAAAUCACAUCCCUUGUAGAUGGUGAUGGUGUACUGACACUGCUACUUUCAGCCUGUAAUGUUAGACAUUGAAAACUUGUAUUUAUUGCCUUCUUUAUAUCAAGUAAAACUUUUUGUUCUUAAUUUUAUGGUUGACUUGUAUUUUUUCUGUAAUGAGUGUUGUUUUGACAAGUUAGUGCUUUGAACUUAAAGAUGUGGAAUUCUUUUAAAACGAAUAUCUGUUACUGUAGACCUGGCACAUGUUGACACUGCUCCAAGUGUUCAGUUGAUCUUAACCAGAAAACUCAAACCCUUUAAGGAUUUGUACAAGGUUUUAAAGGGAAUAUAAUAAAUUGGACUCUAAAGCAGGGAAUGCUACAGUGGAUGGUGAUGCUGCUACUUGCCCCCAUCUCACAACUUCCUUACUUCUAGCCACUACUACUAAAUAUGGCUCAUAAACACUAAUACAAAUAUGCCACUGAACAUUAGACUACUUUGCUUUAAAAUGCCUUCUUUUAACUACAGAUGUAUUUUUACUAUUUUAUUUCAUCUGGCUUUUCAUUUUAUCUUUAAAUUCUGUCUUCCAUUUUACACUUAAAGGUUUAAUUUUUCUACUAUGGAAAGCACUUUGUAGAGUUGUUUUGAAAAGUGCUAUUCAAAUAGUUAUUUGAACAGUGUUGCACUACCAUUAACACCAGCAGCAAUAUGAGCAGCCACACAUGCAAUGCUAAUAUUUCUGAUUGUCUCUGACUGUCUCAGCCUCAGGUAGGUGAACGCUCCACACAUUAGUCAGUCAGUCAUCAUCUACCGCUUUAUCCUCUGCCAGAGGGUCGUGGGGCUCCACACAUUAGUGUAGGAAAAUGUUCAACAGUUAAAUAAAACACCAAAGUGUGAGGCACAGAUGUACAAGAUGUUUCCCAAAGUAAAGAUCAGACUUGGAACAACCGAGUGAUAGACAAAGAAGUCAGUGGCUAAUUGCAAGCUGCAAACACUGGUGACCCAAGAUGGAGAGAGGGGCGAGGAGACGGUUCUUCCAGUCUCAGCAUCCAGUGCAUCAUGAAUUCGACAGGAGAAAGAGAUGACCGACAUUUUGGUUGUGUGCUUUUGUGGAAAAGGGGGCUGAUUUUUUUUUUUUAUUUUUUUUUUCUCUAAUCAAUUCGCCACUCAAUUUUUUUUUUUCAAUUUCUUGGACCAGAAAAUGUUGAAAAAUGUUGAUCAUUGUUUCUCAAACCUGGAAAUGAUGUUCUCAAAUGUCUUGUUUUGUCCACCAAAUAAAUUGGUUUUGAUGAUUUGUGUUAUAUGGAACAAAGAAACGUGUGCCCACGUUGCCAUGCGCGCC